UAAUACUAUACCUGCAAGAAAACUGUCAAUGGAUAUAUAAUCAAAGCAAUAUUAAAUAUGCAUGCAUGCUUUUUCAUGAUUUUACUUUGGCUUUUACCCAAUCUUACCGGUUAACCUUGUUAACCCCAAUAACUCACAACCCAAAAUCCCUUUCGUUCGGGGAGGCGCUAAGCACUACAAGACCCGAGGGACCGUCUUCGGGGACCGCGCUCCCCGUGGUGACAAUUCCGGAACGCACCGCUUGAGGGGGAGCUACCACCCUCAAGCCAAGACUUAUCGCGAGUAUCGAUUCAAUUCCCACUUAGGGAAUGUAUAGCCACUAGCCACGAUGCCA
rnacentral:lncRNA from 1 species